GAGCCCGUAGCUUAAUGGUAGAGCGUUCGACUGAAAAACCACAAUUCACGGGUUCA
rnacentral:tRNA from 1 species